AGAUAGCUUUUCUUUACUUCUUUCUUUUUUCCGUAUAUGAUUAAUUUUCCAUUCUCCCAGCUUUCUCCUCAAUUUCUUUCUCUGUCGGUUCGUAGGCUGCAGACUUUUUCCACUCAAAAAAAUGAAUAAACUGCGAUUAUAUUGAAGAUCUUUGAUAAAUGGUUUUGUUCAGUUUCCAUCCAAUGAUGUUUAAUUGCAGAUCUAUUUUCUCAUCGUGGUGUACUCGUUCCACGAAUCCCUUCGCGAGGACCCGUCUGGAGUCAAUGCGGGAUUUUUUCCAGAUAACCCGAUGGAAGCUGGACCAAAUGCUAAGUAUUCUGUUUAAGGAGGCCCUGAAGCGACCAGUUGUAAAAGCGGACCGAAUACCUGGACACUUGAAAGAAGAAAGCAUAAGAAUAGAAGAAAAUGAAGGGACUUUUGGACAAAUUAGAUUUUCCGUUCUUGCCUGUAUUGCAUUUCAAGUUGCACUAUUAGCUAAUGCAAAUGUUAGAGUAAUAGCGCGCAUACUCGCGCGAGCAACUUAGUUGAAGGCAAUAAAAAGCUUUUUCUUGUUGUGCUGGCUAGAGCUUGAAAAAUUCCUAGGUCAAUACGA